rnacentral:rRNA from 1 species
UACGAAGGGGGCUAGCGUUGCUCGGAAUCACUGGGCGUAAAGGGUGCGUAGGCGGGCCUUUAAGUCAGGGGUGAAAUCCUGGAGCUCAACUCCAGAACUGCCUUUGAUACUGGCGAUCUUCGAGUCCGGGAGAGGUGAGUGGAACUCCGAGUGUAGAGGUGAAAUUCGUAGAUAUUCGGAAGAACACCAGUGGCGAAGGCGGCUCACUGGCCCGGUACUGACGCUGAGGUGCGAAAGCGUGGGGAGCAAACAGG